GAACGCUGGCGGCGUGCCUAAUACAUGCAAGUCGAACGAAYGGAGGAAGAGCUUGCUCUUCCAAAGUUAGUGGCGGACGGGUGAGUAACACGUGGGCAACCUGCCUGUAAGUUGGGGAUAACUCCGGGAAACCGGGGCUAAUACCGAAUGAUAAAGUGUGGCGCAUGCCACGCUUUUGAAAGAUGGUUUCGGCUAUCGCUUACAGAUGGGCCCGCGGUGCAUUAGCUAGUUGGUAGGGUAAUGGCCUACCAAGGCAACGAUGCAUAGCCGACCUGAGAGGGUGAUCGGCCACACUGGGACUGAGACACGGCCCAGACUCCUACGGGAGGCAGCAGUAGGGAAUCUUCCGCAAUGGACGAAAGUCUGACGGAGCAACGCCGCGUGUAUGAAGAAGGUUUUCGGAUCGUAAAGUACUGUUGUUAGAGAAGAACAAGGAUAAGAGUAACUGCUUGUCCCUUGACGGUAUCUAACCAGAAAGCCACGGC
rnacentral:rRNA from 1 species